GAUGAACGCUGGUGGCGUGCCUAACACAUGCAAGUCGAGCGAAGUUUAGAGGAAGUGCUUGCACGGAAUCGAAGACUUAGCGGCGGACGGGUGAGUAACGCGUGAGCAACCUACCUUUCACAGGGGAAUAACAACGGGAAACCGUUGCUAAUACCGCAUGAUAUUAAGAGAAGACAUCUUCUUUUAAUCAAAGGAGCAAUCCGGUGAAAGAUGGGCUCGCGUCCGAUUAGCUAGUUGGUAAGGUAAAGGCUUACCAAGGCAACGAUCGGUAGCCGAACUGAGAGGUUGACCGGCCACAUUGGGACUGAGACACGGCCCAGACUCCUACGGGAGGCAGCAGUGGGGAAUAUUGGGCAAUGGGCGAAAGCCUGACCCAGCAACGCCGCGUGAAGGAUGAAGGCCUUAGGGUUGUAAACUUCUUUGAUCAGGGAAGAAGAAAAUGACGGUACCUGAAGAACAAGCCACGGCUAACUACGUGCCAGCAGCCGCGGUAAUACGUAGGUGGCAAGCGUUAUCCGGAUUUACUGGGUGUAAAGGGCGUGCAGGCGGGUUUGUAAGUCAGAUGUGAAAUCUCCAGGCUUAACUUGGAAACUGCAUCUGAAACUACAAAUCUUGAGUACUGGAGAGGAUAGUGGAAUUCCUAGUGUAGCGGUAAAAUGCGUAGAUAUUAGGAGGAACACCAGUGGCGAAGGCGGCUAUCUGGACAGUAACUGACGCUGAGGCGCGAAAGCGUGGGUAGCAAACAGG
rnacentral:rRNA from 1 species